GCAUCAUGGGAUUUGAGACACAGGCCCGAGUUUCGUACGGGAAGGCAUGCCAUAUGCAAUUCGCCAAUGGGCCCAAGGCUUGAUCCAAGCCAUUCCGCUGGCAGAUCGAAGGCCUUCGGUUGUAAUUGCUUGUGACCGAAGGCGAAAAAGCCUUGGGUAAAUACCCCGAGGUUCAUGACGGUUUCCCGUAAGAAAUAAGCACGGGCUAAAUACGUGCCAGCAAGCCGCGGUAAUACGUAGGGUGCAAAGCGUUAAUCGGAAUACUGGGCGUAAAGCGUGCGCAGGCCGGUUAUGUAAGACAGAGGUGGAAUCCCCCGGGCUCACCCUGGGAACUGCCCUUUUGUGACUGCAUAGCUCGAGUGCGGCAGAGGGGGAUGGAAAUUCCGCGUGUAGCAGUGAAAUGCGUAGAGAUCAGGAGGAAAUACCGAUGGCGAGGGCAGCCCCCUGGGCUAGUACUGACGCUCAUGCACGAAAGCGUGGGGAGCAAACAGGAUUAGAUACCCUGGUAGUCCACGCCCUAAACGAUGUCAAUUAGUUGUUGGUCCUUUAUUGGAUUAGUAACGUAGCUAACGCGUGAAAUUGACCGCCUGGGGAGUACGGUCGCAAGAUUAAAACUCAAAGGAAUUGACGGGGACCCGCACAAGCGGUGGAUGAUGUGGAUUAAUUCGAUGCAACGCGAAAAACCUUACCUACCCUUGACAUGGUCGGAAUCCCGCAGAGAUGUGGGAGUGCUCGAAAGAGAACCGGCACACAGGUGCUGCAUGGCUGUCGUCAGCUCGUGUCGUGAGAUGUUGGGUUAAGUCCCGCAACGAGCGCAACCCUUGUCAUUAGUUGCUACGAAAGGGCACUCUAAUGAGACUGCCGGUGACAAACCGGAGGAAGGUGGGGAUGACGUCAAGUCCUCAUGGCCCUUAUGGGUAGGGCUUCACACGUCAUACAAUGGUCGGUACAGAGGGCUGCCAACCCGUAAGGGGGAGCCAAUCCCUUAAAACCGAUCGUAGUCCGGAUUGAGGUCUGCAACUCGACCUCAUGAAGUCGGAAUCGCUAGUAAUCGCGGAUCAGCAUGUCGCGGUGAAUACGUUCCCGGGUCUUGUACACACCGCCCGUCACACCAUGGGAGCGGGUUUUACCAGAAGUAGCUAGCCUAACCGUAAGGAGGGCGAUUACCACGGCGGGGUUCGUGACUGGGGUGAAGUCGUAACAAGGUAACCA
rnacentral:rRNA from 1 species